AUUAAAUUGACAGAUAUUAUGUAUUAAAUUUAGAAUUUAAUUAAAUGACUAUAGUCAUAUUUAAUA
rnacentral:tRNA from 1 species